GGUUUGUUGAUAUUAAUUUUAGAUCGAGCCUGCCCGUUGAUUUUAUUGAAAGGCUGCGGUAUUUUAACUGUACGAAGGUAGCAUAAUCACUUGUCUUUUAAUUGGAGGCUAGUAUGAAUGGUUUGAUGAAAUAUUACCUUUCUUUAAAUAAUUAUUUUGAAUUUUAUUUUUUAAUUAAAAAGUUGAGAUUUUUUUAUAGGACGAGAAGACCCUAUAGAAAUUUAUUAUUUUAUUUAUAUAAUUUUUUUUGUUUAUUGUAAUUUUUAUUUAUGAAAUAAUUUUGUUGGGGCGACAGUGAAAUUUAAUUAACUUUUAUUUUUUUUUUCAUUAAUUUAUGUUUUUUUGAUCCAGAUUUUUUUUGAUUAUAAGAUUAAUUUACCUUAGGGAUAACAGCGUAAUUUUUUCGGAGAGUUCUUAUUUAUGAUAAAGUUUGCGA
rnacentral:rRNA from 1 species